GACGUAGGGCGCGAGCGUUGUCCGGAUUUAUUGGGCGUAAAGAGCUCGUAGGCGGCUUGUUGCGUCGGCUGUGAAAUCCCGUGGCUUAACUGCGGGCUUGCAGCUGAUACGGGCGGGCUGGAGUUCGGUAGGGGAGACUGGAAUUCCUGGUGUAGCGGUGAAAUGCGCAGAUAUCAGGAGGAACACCGGUGGCGAAGGCGGGUCUCUGGGGCCGAUACUGACGCUGAGGAGCGAAAGCGUGGGGAGCGAACAGG
rnacentral:rRNA from 1 species